AGAGUUUGAUUCUGGCUCAGAACGAACGCUGGCGGCGUGGAUAAGACAUGCAAGUCGAACGAGAGAAUUGCUAGCUUGCUAAUAAUUCUCUAGUGGCGCACGGGUGAGUAACACGUGAGUAACCUGCCCCCGAGAGCGGGAUAGCCCUGGGAAACUGGGAUUAAUACCGCAUAGUAUCGAAAGAUUAAAGCAGCAAUGCGCUUGGGGAUGGGCUCGCGGCCUAUUAGUUAGUUGGUGAGGUAACGGCUCACCAAGGCGAUGACGGGUAGCCGGUCUGAGAGGAUGUCCGGCCACACUGGAACUGAGACACGGUCCAGACACCUACGGGUGGCAGCAGUCGAGAAUCAUUCACAAUGGGGGAAACCCUGAUGGUGUGACGCCGCGUGGGGGAAUGAAGGUCUUCGGAUUGUAAACCCCUGUCAUGUGGGAGCAAAUUAAAAAGAUAGUACCACAAGAGGAAGAGACGGCUAACUCUGUGCCAGCAGCCGCGGUAAUACAGAGGUCUCAAGCGUUGUUCGGAAUCACUGGGCGUAAAGCGUGCGUAGGCUGUUUCGUAAGUCGUGUGUGAAAGGCGCGGGCUCAACCCGCGGACGGCACAUGAUACUGCGAGACUAGAGUAAUGGAGGGGGAACCGGAAUUCUCGGUGUAGCAGUGAAAUGCGUAGAUAUCGAGAGGAACACUCGUGGCGAAGGCGGGUUCCUGGACAUUAACUGACGCUGAGGCACGAAGGCCAGGGGAGCGAAAGGGAUUAGAUACCCCUGUAGUCCUGGCAGUAAACGGUGCACGCUUGGUGUGCGGGGAAUCGACCCCCUGCGUGCCGGAGCUAACGCGUUAAGCGUGCCGCCUGGGGAGUACGGUCGCAAGAUUAAAACUCAAAGAAAUUGACG
rnacentral:rRNA from 1 species